AAAAAGUUCUCACAAGAGAAACUCUCAAAUUAGAUUAUAUUUCAAGUUGUUUGAAAAGUACAUGAUAGUCCUAUUUAUAGCAUAUCCUUACAUAGUAGGAUUUAUUGUCCACUACCAUACAUUCACCAUAGGACUUAGAAAAUUCCCACUAACAUGCUUAUAAAUUCCCACUAGCCACUAUAAUGACUUAGUGCACCACUAGGAAGCAUCUAGAGAGCUUAGGGAGCAACUAAAGGUCAUAUAAAAACUCUCCUAAUACCAAAAACGAAAAUUACAAUAAAAAUAAAGAAAAUUGGACUUAAUUGUUUUUUUUUAUUUAGUCCAAUAUUAUUAGACCACAAUUCAGCCCAAGGAUGCUUCUUAUCAUAUGAAUUGGGCUUCAAGUUGGGCUCAAGCAUCUUCAUCCA
rnacentral:lncRNA from 1 species